UAGCAACAAACAUCUGACACUUUGCCAAUCACACUUUUGAAAACAUUUUGCUAUAAAGUCGACGAAAAAUAACAACUUGAUCAGUAGCUGAACCAUUCAGUGGCAGUGGAAUCGAUCCACGAUACACUCUUAAAGAUGAAGUACACUCUUCUCCUGUUACUACUGGUGGCGAUCACCAUCAACCACCAAUCAGAGGCUUGGAGAUGGAGAUUGAGAUGGAGAUGGAGAAAAGCCGCCAACAUAGCAACAGUAGUAAAAGUUGCCGCAUCUUUACUCGGCAAACGAGAUCUGUCUGAGUUUGACACCAACAAGGACGGCCAAUUGGACGAGUCUGAACUAGAAAACGUCUUUACCACGCGGGAGAUUCGAGACAUCUUGGACAGAUCCGAUUAAGACUCUCUUCCUCUCUCAAGAACUGACUGCUAACGAGAUACCAUCUGUCUAUACAGAAAUAAAAUUUGCAACAAAA